GAUGAACGCUGGCGGCGUGCCUAAUACAUGCAAGUCGAGCGAACAGACGAGGAGCUUGCUCCUUUGACGUUAGCGGCGGACGGGUGAGUAACACGUAGGUAACCUACCUAUAAGACUGGGAUAACUUCGGGAAACCGGAGCUAAUACCGGAUAAUAUUUCGAACCGCAUGGUUCGAUAGUGAAAGAUGGCUUUGCUAUCACUUAUAGAUGGACCUGCGCCGUAUUAGCUAGUUGGUAAGGUAACGGCUUACCAAGGCAACGAUACGUAGCCGACCUGAGAGGGUGAUCGGCCACACUGGAACUGAGACACGGUCCAGACCCCUACGGGAGGCAGCAGUAGGGAAUCUUCCGCAAUGGGCGAAAGCCUGACGGAGCAACGCCGCGUGAGUGAUGAAGGUCUUCGGAUCGUAAAACUCUGUUAUUAGGGAAGAACAAACGUGUAAGUAACUGUGCACGUCUUGACGGUACCUAAUCAGAAAGCCACGGCUAACUACGUG
rnacentral:rRNA from 1 species